UACAGAGGUCCCGAGCGUUGUUCGGAUUCACUGGGCGUAAAGGGUGCGUAGGUGGUUGGGUAAGUCUGAUGUGAAAUCUCCGGGCUCAACCCGGAAAUGGCAUUGGAUACUAUCCAGCUGGAGGGUCGGAGGGGGGACUGGAAUUCUUGGUGUAGCAGUGAAAUGCGUAGAUAUCAAGAGGAACACCAGUGGCGAAGGCGAGUCCCUGGACGACUCCUGACACUGAGGCACGAAAGCUAGGGGAGCAAACAGG
rnacentral:rRNA from 1 species